rnacentral:RNase_P_RNA from 1 species
GUAAGAGCCCACCGCACCUCCGGCGACGGAGGUGGCACGGUAAACCCCAUCCGGAGCAAGGCCAAAUAGGGAGGCGCUUGAGGGUGGCCCGCCCGAUGCCUCCGGGUAGGCCGCAGGAGGCGUCCGGCAACGGACGUCCCAGACCGAUGGCCAUCGGCCCUUAAGGGCUACAGAACCCGGCUUAUAGUCCCGCUCCCCCU